CCAUAUCUAAACUGAUAGUUCAAACUCUUGAGUCAACCUACUAGACCCUAAGUACUCUACCUUCACUUGUUGACACACCAUGCACUUAGCCAUAAAUUGGCCACAUCCCAUUUCAUAUUAUUCCACUAAUAAAUCUCCUUAAGAAUACCUUUUCAUCGAACCAAGAUGAAUAGUAUAAUGUGAAUUAUGAGCUUUGACCAAAAUUUUCUUCGCAAUCUAUCAACAUCGGAAAUACAUAAUCUACCUUGGUACCUCAAGAUACCAUGACCACCAAUUUCAAAAUCAUCACCUUCUG
rnacentral:lncRNA from 1 species